AGUGAAGGAGAAACUGGCUCUGCAGCACAAACUUGGGCGGAGUAAAAGAGGAAAAAGUAAGAUAAAAUUACACCCUGGAGGAAGCAGCCCAUCCUAUUGAAACUCUGCUCUAGUUCUCACAAGAAGUCUGAGUGCCGGGCUUUGGGAACUGUUCUAUGCAUGUCUUCCAGGAUCUUGUGAUUAAUUUUUCAGGCUGGCCUCAAAUUCUGGGCUUAUGUGGUCCUUCUGCCUCAGCCUCCUGAGUGCUAAGACCAUAGGAGCACGCCACCGUGUCUGGCCAAGCUCAACAAAUGCCUCUACUAUCAAUUGAACUGAGAAAACACAGAGCCAGAAGGUCAUCUCUGACACUAUCUCCUUUGCCUCUUAUACCCAGCUUAUUACCAAGGGGAAACAAAGACACAGGAUUAUGGAGCGAGUCAUCUAAAGUCAUGUUGGCAAGGAUGAAAGGCCAUGGCACCCUUAUAUUCAAGGCACCAUUGCAUAGGGGAUUGAAGACUAAAUCCAGGGAGAGCAUGGUGACAAUUAUAGAACAAGGUACUCACUCUGCAGUUGAGACUGAACUGGAACUCACUA